CAUGAUAAAGUUCAAUGUCAAUCUAGGAAAGUUAACUUUUGGCCAAAGUUCUAUUUAAAUCUAUGUCUGUUUCAUUCAAGUUACAAGCAUAAUGGAGGGAAAAUAUAUUUCAAAGUAUGGUUGAAAAAGGAUUCAAUAUAUUCAAAAUUUAAAGGAAAUUAUAAAGGACAAUUAAGUUCACAAUUCAAGUUACCUUACAAAGUCAAUCUCAUUACAAGAAGAACCAUCACAUAUUUCGUGUUUCAAGACCAUUCCAUUUCAAACCAUAUUUCCAUACACAAUACUUUCCAUGAUCGAGUCAUGUUUGAUACAUAUCCAAGAGAUUCAUUCUACAUCAUUCAAAUAAAACUAUACAAAUAG